rnacentral:rRNA from 1 species
AGUGAACGCUGGCGGUGGGCCUAACACAUGCAAGUCGAACGGCAGCACAGUAAGAGCUUGCUCUUACGGGUGGCGAGUGGCGGACGGGUGAGGAAUACAUCGGAAUCUACUUUUUCGUGGGGGAUAACGUAGGGAAACUUACGCUAAUACCGCAUACGACCUACGGGUGAAAGCAGGGGAUCUUCGGACCUUGCGCGAUUGAAUGAGCCGAUGUCGGAUUAGCUAGUUGGCGGGGUAAAGGCCCACCAAGGCGACGAUCCGUAGCUGGUCUGAGAGGAUGAUCAGCCACACUGGAACUGAGACACGGUCCAGACUCCUACGGGAGGCAGCAGUGGGGAAUAUUGGACAAUGGGCGCAAGCCUGAUCCAGCUAUACCGCGUGUGUGAAGAAGGCCUUCGGGUUGUAAAGCCCUUUUGUUGGGAAAGAAAAGCAGCAGGUUAAUACCCCGCUGUUCUGACGGUACCCAAAGAAUAAGCACCGGCUAACUUCGUG